rnacentral:rRNA from 1 species
UGGGCGUAAAGAGCUCGUAGGAGGUUUGUUAAGUCAGGGGUUAAAGACCGAGGCUCAACCUCGGGAGUGCCUUUGAUACUGGCAGACUGGAGGACGGCAGAGGAAAGUGGAAUUCCCAGUGUAGCGGUGAAAUGCGUAGAUAUUGGGAGGAACACCAGUGGCGAAAGCGACUUUCUGGGCCGUUCCUGACGCUGAGGUACGAAAGCGUGGGGAGCAAACAGG